ACUGAAACCUAGUGAUUUACAGGUUAGUGGCGGACGGGUGAGUAACGCGUGGAAAACCUGCCGUAUACUGGGGGAUAACACUUAGAAAUAGGUGCUAAUACCGCAUAAGCGCACAGGCCCGCAUGGGACAGUGUGAAAAACUCCGGUGGUAUACGAUGGUUCCGCGUCUGAUUAGCUUGUUGGCGGGGUAACGGCCCACCAAGGCGACGAUCAGUAGCCGGCCUGAGAGGGUGAACGGCCACAUUGGGACUGAGACACGGCCCAGACUCCUACGGGAGGCAGCAGUGGGGAAUAUUGCACAAUGGGGGAAACCCUGAUGCAGCGACGCCGCGUGAGUGAAGAAGUAUCUCGGUACGUAAAGCUCUAUCAGCAGGGAAGAAAAAAAGUCUUUGGCUUUGGACGGUACCUGACUAAGAAGCCCCGGCUAACUACGUGCCAGCAGCCGCGGUAAUACGUAGGGGGCAAGCGUUAUCCGGAUUUACUGGGUGUAAAGGGAGCGUAGACGGCAGCGCAAGUCUGGAGUGAAAUGCCGGGGCUCAACCCCGGAACUGCUUUGGAAACUGUGCAGCUAGAGUGCGGGAGAGGUAAGCGGAAUUCCUAGUGUAGCGGUGAAAUGCGUAGAUAUUAGGAGGAACACCAGUGGCGAAGGCGGCUUGCUGGACCGUAACUGACGUUGAGGCUC
rnacentral:rRNA from 1 species